rnacentral:rRNA from 1 species
GACGAACGCUGGCGGCGUGCCUAAUACAUGCAAGUCGAGCGAGAGCGACCGGUGCUUGCACUGGUCAAUCUAGUGGCGAACGGGUGAGUAACACGUGGGUAACCUGCCCAUCAGAGGGGGAUAACAUCCGGAAACGGAUGCUAAAACCGCAUAGGUCUUCGAACCGCAUGGUUUGAAGAGGAAAAGAGGCGCAAGCUUCUGCUGAUGGAUGGACCCGCGGUGCAUUAGCUAGUUGGUGAGGUAACGGCUCACCAAGGCCGUGAUGCAUAGCCGACCUGAGAGGGUGAUCGGCCACAUUGGGACUGAGACACGGCCCAAACUCCUACGGGAGGCAGCAGUAGGGAAUCUUCCGCAAUGGACGCAAGUCUGACGGAGCAACGCCGCGUGAGUGAAGAAGGUUUUCGGAUCGUAAAACUCUGUUGUUAGAGAAGAACAAGUGCUAGAGUAACUGUUAGCGCCUUGACGGUAGCUAACCAGAAAGCCACGGCUAACUACGUG